AUUUGCUCAUUUUAAAAAGAUGACGUUUUGAUGACGUCGCAUGGCGACGUUUCAGUACAUUUUGCUUUUUCAGUAAAUACUUCAUCUGUUGAUAAAUACUGUGAACGUUUUGUGCAUAUCUAAAUAGUUCUACCUAGGUUGAAAGAUGUGCUUAGUAUCAAAUCAUAAAAAUACAAAUUGUUUAGUCUCUAAAAAUCUUGUAAGAUUUUCGCUGCUAGUUUUGCUAAAUAGGUGCAAUUUGGGUACUCGGUGCAAUUUGGGUACCGUUACGUUAUAU
rnacentral:lncRNA from 1 species